rnacentral:lncRNA from 1 species
UGAGCUCCGUCCUCCCCACCUUAAGAUUAGGGAUUUAGACAGCAGUGUGGCUGCCCUGCCUCCCUGUGGGCCCUGCGCAUUGUGCUACGGGAUGGACACAGGGUUCAAAUCUCCUGCGGGAUCUGGGCCUCACCUGCACUGGCAUGCCAGAAUCGCCUCCUGCCUCUCUCUGUAGUCACCUGCUGGGAAGGUCAUCUUGGAAUCUACUUUCAGUCCCAGCAUCACCCUCGAAUACCCACUACCCCUGGAAGGGAGAGGAAAUGCAGCCCUGAACUACAUGCAGCAGCGAGGACCGUGCCCUGCCUGAUUCAGCGUACACAGCCUCAAUAAGCUGGUGCCCUGAGCCCAAAAGAGCUGACCCAAAGCUAAGGCCUGGGCAGAGUACUGGUACCUGAGGGGGAGCAGUAAGGGUGAUUCCAAAAAACUAGGCCUUUGC